rnacentral:rRNA from 1 species
GGAAUUUUGGACAAUGGGCGCAAGCCUGAUCCAGCCAUGCCGCGUGUCUGAAGAAGGCCUUCGGGUUGUAAAGGACUUUUGUCAGGGAAGAAAAGGCCGUUGCCAAUAUCGGCGGCCGAUGACGGUACCUGAAGAAUAAGCACCGGCUAACUACGUGCCAGCAGCCGCGGUAAUACGUAGGGUGCGAGCGUUAAUCGGAAUUACUGGGCGUAAAGCGGGCGCAGACGGUUACUUAAGCAGGAUGUGAAAUCCCCGGGCUCAACCCGGGAACUGCGUUCUGAACUGGGUGACUCGAGUGUGUCAGAGGGAGGUGGAAUUCCACGUGUAGCAGUGAAAUGCGUAGAGAUGUGGAGGAAUACCGAUGGCGAAGGCAGCCUCCUGGGAUAACACUGACGUUCAUGUCCGAAAGCGUGGGUAGCAAACAGGAUUAGAUACCCUGGUAGUCCACGCCCUAAACGAUGUCAAUUAGCUGUUGGGCAACUUGAUUGCUUGGUAGCGUAGCUAACGCGUGAAAUUGACCGCCUGGGGAGUACGGUCGCAAGAUUAAAACUCAAAGGAAUUGACGGGGACCCGCACAAGCGGUGGAUGAUGUGGAUUAAUUCGAUGCAACGCGAAGAACCUUACCUGGUUUUGACAUGUGCGGAAUCCUCCGGAGACGGAGGAGUGCCUUCGGGAGCCGUAACACAGGUGCUGCAUGGCUGUCGUCAGCUCGUGUCGUGAGAUGUUGGGUUAAGUCCCGCAACGAGCGCAACCCUUGUCAUUAGUUGCCAUCAUUCGGUUGGGCACUCUAAUGAGACUGCCGGUGACAAGCCGGAGGAAGGUGGGGAUGACGUCAAGUCCUCAUGGCCCUUAUGACCAGGGCUUCACACGUCAUACAAUGGUCGGUACAGAGGGUAGCCAAGCCGCGAGGCGGAGCCAAUCUCACAAAACCGAUCGUAGUCCGGAUUGCACUCUGCAACUCGAGUGCAUGAAGUCGGAAUCGCUAGUAAUCGCAGGUCAGCAUACUGCGGUGAAUACGUUCCCGGGUCUUGUACACACCGCCCGUCACACCAUGGGAGUGGGGGAUACCAGAAGUAGGUAGGGUAACCGCAAGGAGCCCGCUUACCACGGUAUGCUUCAUGACUGGGGUGAAGUCGUAACAAGGUAGCCGUAGGGGAACCUGCGGCUGGAUCACCU